GAGCUUCCUCGGCCUUGACUUCUUGAACUAUGGUUUCCUUGAUUUCUUCAGCAGCUUCUGAUGGCUCCGCACACGGCGUCGGUGUUUCCUUUUCUUCACAAGUUUCUGUUUUCUCUAAUUCUUCCUUCUUCUCCUCCUCCGCCUGAGGUUUGGGCUCUUCAGUCUUCUCCUCCUCCUCUGCCUGAGAUUUGGGCUCUUCAGUCUUCUCCUCCUCCUCCGCCUGAGAUUUGGGCUCUUCCUUCUUCUCCUCCUCCUCCGUCUGAGGUUUGGGCUCUUCCGUCUUCGCCUCCUCCGCCUGAGGCUUGGGCUCUUCCUUCUUCACCUCCUCCUUGGCGGCGGAGGGAGGUGGCGGGGCGGUGAAGUCGUGUUUGUUGAGGGCCUCCUGAAUCAAUUGUUUGAACUCAUCCAAAGCUUUCUUCUGCGGAUCGAUGAGGUCAUCAACUUUGUUG
rnacentral:lncRNA from 1 species